AACGAACGCUGGCGGCAGGCUUAACACAUGCAAGUCGAACGAAGCCUUCGGGCUUAGUGGCGCACGGGUGAGUAACACGUAGGUAACCUGCCUCAAAGACUGGGACAACCUUCCGAAAGGAGGGCUAAUACCGGAUAAGACCACAGGAUCUGCGGAUCAAGGGGUCAAUGGGUGCUUCAAAGUAUCGCUUUGAGAGGGGCCUGCGGUGCAUUAGCUAGUUGGUAGGGUAAUGGCCUACCAAGGCUACGAUGCAUAGCUGGUCUGAGAGGACGACCAGCCACACUGGGACUGAGACACGGCCCAGACUCCUACGGGAGGCAGCAGUGGGGAAUUUUGGACAAUGGGCGCAAGCCUGAUCCAGCAAUGCCGCGUGAGUGAAGAAGGCCUUCGGUUGUAAGACGUACUUUCUAGUCGAGAAGAAAAGGAC
rnacentral:rRNA from 1 species